rnacentral:lncRNA from 1 species
UUACUGUCACUUCUUUUAUCCAUAACAAGGGUGCAACUCCUACCUGAGACCUGAUCUGCUCCCUUCUGCCUUUGAUGUUCCUCACUCUGAGCCAGGGGUCACAGUGCUGGCAGACAUUCCACGGGCUGUGGACAUGACAUGGAUGCUGCUUCUUCACCUCACAUGACAUCAGCUUCCAGUAUCCAUGACUGAAGCCAAGGAUGAGAAGCUUCUUUCUGCUUGGGAGCUGCCCAGAUGAGAUGCCAAAGGAAUAAAUGCGGACCAGGAGAGAGAAGACAGGUGGAUUAUUCAGACAAGACAGAUAUCUCCAAAUGACAAAGAGUGGAUGGAUCAAUUCAGAUACAUCAUUGGUGCAGAUUAGGAUACCUGUGGUGCUCCAAAGUUUGCAGUGUGCAGGCCUUCCCACUUAA